rnacentral:misc_RNA from 1 species
GAAAUGCGAUAAGUAAUGUGAAUUGCAGAAUUCCGUGAAUCAUCGAAUCUUUGAACGCACAUUGCGCCCCCUGGUAUUCCGGGGGGCAUGCCUGUCCGAGCGUCAUUGCAACCCCUUCAAGCCCGGCUUGUGUGUUGGACGUCGUCCCCGCUGGACGCGCCCGAAAGGCAGUGGCGGCUCCGUGUCCGGUGCCCGAGCGUAUGGGCUUUGUCACCCGCUCCAGAGGCCCGGCCGGCGCUGGCCCCCCGAGUCUUAACUGAACUUUAGUUAAAGCCUUAACGGGACUUAACUAACUUUUAGUUAAGGUCUCCACUAAACUUUUCGUGGUUGACCUCGGAUCAGGUAGGGAUACCCGCUGAACUUAA